rnacentral:RNase_P_RNA from 1 species
GAAGUGGGUUGGACGGUCGCUGCUGUGGAGAUCUUCGUGAUUGAAACAGGGGAGGAAAGUCCGGGCUUCGCAGGGUAUGGUGCCAGGUAAUGCCUGGGCGGCGUGAGCCGACGGAAAGUGCAACAGAGAGCAGACCGCCUGCUUGCUUAGGCAAGUCGGUAAGGGUGAAAGGGUGCGGUAAGAGCGCACCGCGUGUCUGGUAACAGGUCACGGCAUGGUAAACCCCACCAGAAGCAAGACCAAAUAGGAAUCCGCUAUGCGUGACC